rnacentral:rRNA from 1 species
GACGAACCGUGCGAACGUUUUUCGGAAUCACUGGGCUUAAAGGGCGCGUAGGCGGGUUACCCAGUCAGGGGUGAAAUCUUUCGGCUCAACCGGAAAACUGCCCCUGAUACUGGUAGUCUUGAGGGAGGUAGGGGUGUGUGGAACUUCCGGUGGAGCGGUGAAAUGCGUAGAUAUCGGAAGGAACACCGGUGGCGAAAGCGACGCACUGGACCUCUUCUGACGCUGAGGAGCGAAACCUAGGGGAGCGAACGGG